rnacentral:rRNA from 1 species
UACGGAGGGGGCUAGCGUUGUUCGGAAUUACUGGGCGUAAAGCGCGCGUAGGCGGCUUUGUAAGUUAGAGGUGAAAGCCCGGAGCUCAACUCCGGAACUGCCUUUAAGACUGCAUCGCUAGAAUUGUGGAGAGGUGAGUGGAAUUCCGAGUGUAGAGGUGAAAUUCGUAGAUAUUCGGAAGAACACCAGUGGCGAAGGCGACUCACUGGACACAUAUUGACGCUGAGGUGCGAAAGCGUUGGGGAGCAAACAGG